GGCCCGCACAAGCGGAGGAACAUGUGGUUUAAUUCGAUGAUACGCGAGGAACCUUACCCGGGCUUGAACUGGAGCGGACGCAUUGCAGAGACGCGAUGCUUCUUCGGACCGCUCCGGAGGUGCUGCAUGGUUGUCGUCAGCUCGUGCCGUGAGGUGUCGGCUUAAGUGCCAUAACGAGCGCAACCCUUCUCCUCGUUUGCCAUCAGGUAAUGCUGGGCACUCCGGGGACACUGCCAUCGCAAGAUGUGAGGAAGGUGGGGAUGACGUCAAAUCAGCACGGCCCUUACGUCCGGGGCUACACACGUGUUACAAUGGCCGGUACAGAAGGCAGCUACCCCGCGAGGGGAUGCGAAUCCCGAAAGCCGGUCUCAGUUCGGAUUGGAGUCUGCAACCCGACUCCAUGAAGCCGGAUUCGCUAGUAAUCGCGCAUCAGCCAUGGCGCGGUGAAUACGUUCCCGGGC
rnacentral:rRNA from 1 species